GUGGGGAAUAUUGGACAAUGGGCGAAAGCCUGAUCCAGCCAUGCCGCGUGUGUGAAGAAGUUCUUCGGAUUGUAAAGCACUUUAAGUUGGGAGGAAGGGCAGUAAGUUAAUACCUUGCUGUUUUGACGUUACCGACAGAAUAAGCACCGGCUAACUUCGUGCCAGCAGCCGCGGUAAUACGUAGGGUGCAAGCGUUAAUCGGAAUUACUGGGCGUAAAGCGCGCGUAGGUGGUUUUGUUAGUUGGAGGUGAAAUCCCCGGGCUCAACCUGGGAACUGCCUCAACAACUGCAUGACUAGAGUACGGUAGAGGGUAGUGGAAUUUCCUGUGUAGCGGUGAAAUGCGUAGAUAUAGGAAGGAACACCAGUGGCGAAGGCAACUACCUAGACUGAGACUGACACUGAGGUGCGAAAGAGUGGGGUGCAAACAGGAUUAGAUGCCCUAGUAGUCC
rnacentral:rRNA from 1 species